GAUGAACGCUGGCGGCGUGCCUAAUACAUGCAAGUCGAGCGAACAGACGAGGAGCUUGCUCCUCUGACGUUAGCGGCGGACGGGUGAGUAACACGUGGAUAACCUACCUAUAAGACUGGGAUAACUUCGGGAAACCGGAGCUAAUACCGGAUAAUAUAUUGAACCGCAUGUUUCAAUAGUGAAAGACGGUUUUGCUGUCCCUUAUAGAUGGAUCCGCGCCGCAUUAGCUAGUUGGUAAGGUAACGGCUUACCAAGGCAACGAUGCGUAGCCGACCUGAGAGGGUGAUCGGCCACACUGGAACUGAGACACGGUCCAGACUCCUACGGGAGGCAGCAGUAGGGAAUCUUCCGCAAUGGGCGAAAGCCUGACGGAGCAACGCCGCGUGAGUGAUGAAGGUCUUCGGAUCGUAAAACUCUGUUAUUAGGGAAGAACAAAUGUGUAAGUAACUAUGCACGUCUUGACGGUACCUAAUCAGAAAGCCACGGCUAACUACGUG
rnacentral:rRNA from 1 species